CGGCCCUCCGACCCCACCGUCAUCCGGGGUUCCAGCGGCUGCUGGAGGCCACCAGCGCGCUGGCCGGCUGGCGAAUCGACCUGCACCGCCGGCGCUGCCGUAGCUCCCUUCCUUCUAGGGCACGACUGCAGAGUUAAUCCAGUCUGGAAAAGCUGAAUCUUUGCCACUAUAAAGAGGUAAUGUAUUGUAGUUGUUCACAUCAGUGAUUCAAAUUUCUUAUGGAUGAGUCAUAUUCAUAGUGGAUCCUUUAUGGAAGAGUAUGGAUUUGUUAAAAUUUUCACCCUAGAGGUUUAUUCUUUUACGUGAACUUAUUAUGUUGCUUUUUUCAGCACAAAUUUGCCAACUAAAAAUGACAGGUAUGUUGGUUUGGACUGAAGCAAGUGAUGUGCGGGAAUCAUUUGUGUUUGUCUUAUAGAAAGUUUCAGUAUUGCAGAAAUCAUGUGUGUGCUUAGGAACAGAACAGGGUGUCAGGUUAUGCCCAUCAAUGAUGUUUGCAUUUCAAAAGUUUUGGUUAGUUCGAUUGGUUCUCAUGUGCUGACUUAUAUAUUCUUGAGAAAACUAGGAAGGGGAUAGAAGAGGAGAAAUACGAUGGAGCUCUCCUUUGGUGCAGAUAUGAAAGAUUGUUCCUUCUUUUUCAUGUGUUUCUCCCUUGCUAACUGAUACCCGCGACCAUGUGUCUAUGGCUAUGUAUGGUUUCGGGUAGGAACGGAAGGCAAGAGAAGAAAUAGCAUGGAGCUCUUCUUUGGUGCAAAUAUGAAGAUUUUCUUUUUUUUCUCCAGUGUUUCUCCCUUGCUGUCUGAUAAAUGCGACCAUAUAUCUAUCACUCAAUAUGUUUCCAGUUGUUGUGGGCGCAAGCUUGAUGUAAUAAUAUGGUUGUGGACUUAAAACAAGAUGCUGUCAUGUAGUAUAUCUGGUAUUAGAUAGUAUGUUCUGCUUUUAACGUA